AGCAGUCGCCACGGUAAUACGUAGGUGGCAAGCGUUGUCCGGAAUUAUUGGGCGUAAAGGGCUCGCAGGCGGUUUCUUAAGUCUGAUGUGAAAGCCCCCGGCUCAACCGGGGAGGGUCAUUGGAAACUGGGAAACUUGAGUGCAGAAGAGGAGAGUGGAAUUCCACGUGUAGCGGUGAAAUGCGUAGAGAUGUGGAGGAACACCAGUGGCGAAGGCGACUCUCUGGUCUGUAACUGACGCUGAGGAGCGAAAGCGUGGGGAGCGAACAGGAUUAGAGACCCGCGUAGUCCCUGUCUCUUAUAC
rnacentral:rRNA from 1 species